rnacentral:rRNA from 1 species
UACGAAGGGGGCUAGCGUUGUUCGGAAUUACUGGGCGUAAAGCGUGCGCAGGCGGCUUCUCAAGUCAGGGGUGAAAGCCCAGAGCUCAACUCUGGAAUUGCCUUUGAGACUGAGUGGCUUGAGUACGAGAGAGGUGAGUGGAAUUCCCAGUGUAGAGGUGAAAUUCGUAGAUAUCUGGAGGAACACCGGUGGCGAAGGCGGCAUCCUGGACCAACACUGACGCUGAGGAGCGAAAGCCAGGGGAGCAAACGGG